UUAAAUAAAAUGAUAGGCUGGCUACAUAGGCAAUCCAUUAGCCUUACGCAGCCUAGUUGCUGCUAAUUAUAGGCUUUAGACUUCAGAAAGCUGGGUCAAAAUUCUCCAUUUUUCAGUGGAAAGCUAUGUCAUUGAAAUGCUCUCUUCUGUGCACCACUCAUUCACAGUUCUGCUGCUCAAAACUCAGCAGUGACUCUUCUGUGGUGCUCAAGGCAGAUGGACAUCCUUCCUGUCUGAAUGGUGACGGGCUUUCUCCAGGCUGGUGAGAAUGUUGUUCCACAGGACCAUCCAGUCAAGGAGGACACACGAAGGGACCUUCCGCCAUUCUCUUCUAAGACAAAGCUUAGCAAGAAACAGGGAAGAGGAAGGAGAGAGAGAGGGAACAGAAGAGUGAGUGCAAGAGUUGCAUCAAUAUAACCCUAAUCUGAGGUCACAAGCAGAUGGAAAAAGGUUUGUUCCUACUAGUAAGGCUCAGGAAUGAGUCUUAUACCCCAUGCCCUGUUUUCUGCAACUGUUUUGCAAUGUUUAUUAUGCUUAAAGGAUAUUAAAGGAAAUGUAAA